UUGGCAGAGCGGCAAACGGAUGCCGGCAAAGUUGUGGCCUUUGUGGUUGCGGGUUCAAGUCCCGUCUGUCAACCCA
rnacentral:tRNA from 1 species